UACAGAGGUCUCAAGCGUUGUUCGGAUUCAUUGGGCGUAAAGGGUGCGUAGGCGGCGCGGUAAGUCGGGUGUGAAAUCUCGGGGCUUAACUCCGAAACUGCAUUCGAUACUGCCGUGCUUGAGGACUGGAGAGGAGACUGGAAUUUACGGUGUAGCGGUGAAAUGCGUAGAUAUCGUAAGGAAGACCAGUGGCGAAGGCGGAUCUCUGGACAGUUCCUGACACUGAGGCACGAAGGCCAGGGGAGCAAACGGG
rnacentral:rRNA from 1 species